UUCGUUUUCUCUCUCCACGUUCUCAGAAUAAAGGCCUCUUUUGUUCUAUAUUUUUCAUCUUUUGGAUAUAAUCUUAUCAUUUGGUGCCGUGACUCGAUCGACAGGCAAUUGACUCCUGAGACACACCCAGUUCGAGUCCCCAGCCAAUUCACGAACCGGAUUACAUCCUGGAAUAAUUCUCCACUUUUCGGCUCCCAGGACCUGCUUAAUUUGUCACCAACUGGUCUCACACAGCACCUGCCUGAUUAAUCUCAGGAGACUCCGUCAAUGCCAGAUUCGUCGCUGACUGAUCUGCUCGGACUUGCUGUGGAAGAUUGAUGGGGCUCGGGGCUCACAACCCCCUCUCCGGUAACCUUGUUGGAGCCCUGAGUCUCACUGGAGGUCUCAGGAAAGUACUCGCAGCCAAAGACCAGCUGCAUAGCACAGGACCUGCACAAGGGAAAGGAGCAGGAACCCAGUGUGUCUGAAAAGGCUGUUGGAUGGUAAAGAAGGAGGUACUGAUGGCAAGAAAAAUGAUUUCAACUUAGAGACACUGCUGGAAGAUUGGACAGCACGAAAGAGACUCCUUAGCAUUGCGAGAUGGCCUCAGCACCAUACACCUUCCAAAAUCUUUGGGUUGUAAGUCUAUUUUGCAGAAUGUCUGUCAGCCAGGCUUUGGAUCAUAACCAUCCUGGGAGAAAUAUUCACAUGUGCUCUGAACAUAGGCUACAAGCAGGAGCCGUGAUAUUGUUCCUGAGCAGCUGUUAGGCAAAUCAUUCAUUUUGGCAGACGGUAGAAGUAAGGUGUUUCCAGAAGCUUCCCAGCAUCCUCCUGUGAAUUAUUCCUCUCAGGAGUGAACAGGGUUGGAGGAGCUGCUCUACCUCGUGCUCCCACCAUAGUCUACUAAGCCAACAAAGCCAAAGCAACAGAGCCAACUGAUCAUGGAUGGAAAUACAUGAAACCAUGAGUCAAAAAAUAAAUAAAUGAACAUUUCUCCUCUUAAGGUGAUUAUCUUAGGCAUUUUGUCACACUGACAAAAAACUGACAGAUCUACUCCUUAGCCACGAGCCAGGCUUUACGUGAGUUCCUUGACUAAACUCUGUUACGGCUCUGAGCAUACUUCUCAGGUAGGCUUCUGUGUUUAAUUCUGUUGACCAAUUUUAGCAAAAGUUCUGCUAAGUCUGUUUGCCAGAUCAUUAGAUAUCUUCUGUAUCUAAUCACCUUCAAUAUCUGAUCAAAGUCCUUGCCCUUCACCAUCUCCCAGGGACACCUACCUCCUCUGUCCCAUCUUCAGCAACCCUGAAUCCUCUGGACCUCUGAUAUUUCCUCUCUUAAUUUUAAUUUUCCAUACAUUGACUAACCCUUGUCUUGAUCUUUGCCUUUAAAUUUUCAGUUUAUUUUAUUUAGAGUUAAAACUAAAUCUCUCCCCUAUAACAACAUUCCUUUGUAGUGGACCCUCCUUGCAGCU